CUUAUCUAUUUUAAAUAUGGUUUCUUUAAAUAGGGUUUCUGCAAACUAUUAUAUAGUUUGUAUCUGUUAAUCCCAUCCCACUGCUCUUCCCUCUCCUUUUUGGUAACCACAAGUUCUGUUUCCUAUGUCUCUGAGUCCGUUUCUGUUCUGUAUAUACAUAUGUUUUAUUUUUUUUAAUUCCACAUACAACUGAUAUUAUCAUGUAGUAUUUGCCUUUCUCUUUUUCUUUGACUCAUUUCACUAAGCAUGAUGCUCUCUCGGUCCAUCCACAUUUCUGGGGCAUUUUAAGUACUAACUCCUGGGUCCCACCUCCAGCCAUUCUGCCAUGAGAUGAAGCCGGGCAUCGCAGUUUUCGAAGCCCCCUCGGGUGAUUUGAAGGUGCAGCAAAACACAUCUCACCUGGUGGCCUCUCCACAGGAGGCUGGCAUCACACUGGCUGGUGAUGCUUUCUGGGCUUUGUCAGAUUUUCAUUCCUCAUGAGUCCGGGAGGAAACAGAACCAGGAGUGACCAGCGAGGCCCAGCCCGGUGGAAGAGCUGAGAUCUCUGUGACCGGCAGAGGAUCCCUGGCUGAGAGAGGGUACCGGUUGCCUUCUGCCUGCCUGCCCCAGGCAAGGUGAGUGCUGGCUGGACACAGGAGUCCUGGGGCUGUGUGUCUGUGGCCACCAUCCCUCCAGCAGCAAUUGCAGAAACUCAGGAGAAGGGCACGAGUACCACACGCAACUGAUGCUGGAGACUUGGGUCUCCAAACGGGUCAUGGUUUGAAUACUGGGGGGUCCCAGGUGAGUCCCCUACUCUUUCCACUCCUUCAUUUUUUCAUACACGUUUUUGGCCAUUUACCAAGCACUCCGCUGGGCCCAGCAAAAACAGGUGAAUUGGUGUAAGUGAUCGCCGAGCAGGAAGGGCAGGGAAGGAGAAAGUUCAGGCAGAGGCCAGGGACUGUAAGUGGUCAGAUAAGGACGGCUCGAGGGAGGGAAAGGCCGGGGCCUGAUCACGCCUCGGGCGCCAUGCUGAGGAGCUCAGGCUUUAUCCUGGAUGAGCUCUCCCCUGAGGGGGAUCCACAGCCCGUGCUAGCAGUGGGCUAGCAGACCACCCGGCACUCCGAAUCCUGGGACCCCCCCCCCACCCCAUGCGCUGCUGGCCACUGGGAGCACUCAAGACAGGGAGGGCCCUGCACGUGGAUGAAGCUCAGGAAACGCAGGUUGGAAGGAAGCCUGACUGUGGAGACCAACGGUCGGACCUGACAGUAAAGCCCUUCCUUACCCCAGCCAGCUUGCAAAGCAAAGAGGAAAGAGCAGAGCAGGCUGCUUCGGAAGCAGACCCCAUGUCGCCCCCUGGAGGUCAGCGAUGCCAUCAAGGUUCAGCCUACACCAUGAACGGUUCACAAGCAGAAGCCCAGGACGACUGUGGUCUGACUGCCCAGCAAGUUCUAUGAAUAAGCCCAGUCUUCGCUCACAGUUCAUGAAAGGAACACUGUCCCAGAGCAGCCUCAGCCCCUGUGGGUUUCAGC